ACACGUAGGGCGCAAGCGUUGUCCGGAUUUAUUGGGCGUAAAGGGCUCGUAGGCGGUUUCGUAAGUCGGGUGUGAAAACUCAGGGCUCAACCCUGAGACGCCACUCGUUACUGCGAUGACUUGAGUCCGGUAGGGGAGCAGGGAAUUCCUGGUGUAGCGGUGAAAUGCGCAGAUAUCAGGCGGAACACCAUUAGCGAAGGCGCUGCUCUGGGCCGGUACUGACGCUGAGGAGCGAAAGCAUGGGGAGCAAACAGGAUUAGAUACCCCAGUAGUCC
rnacentral:rRNA from 1 species